UCCUGCUGAAUGAAACAGAGAAGCUGUGAGACUUCGUGGGUGCUUUGGUCUGGGCAGCAGAGAAAAGGGGAGACAGACUCUCCCUUCGUACGUACCCUGGGACUUUCAGUUCAAUCAGCAGUUCUCUGAGCUGCUCACUACGUUCUUGGCAGCCCCAACUUCAAAUAUUCUGCCCCUUUGUCCCUUUGGGGACCCUUAUACUUGUUAGAUCUUUCCCGUGGGUUUUUGAUUUGGAAGUGAUGGUCCCUGUAACUGUGUACAGGGCACGGUGCUGGGAUGGUAGGGGACGUGAUGAAUCAGGACCCCUGCCACUCACCGUCGAGGAACUUGAAAUCAAGAAAUGCACAGGAAAUCAUAAAUCCACGUGGGCAAGCUGUGAGCGGUGGAGUGGAGGAGGACACUGGGUCACAGCGCCCUGGGAGGAGAGGUGGCCAGGCGCUCCAGACUGGUCCGGAGUCAGGGCGUGGUCACUUUGCCCUGACAGGCCCGAAGAGGGGGAUCUGAGGGCCACACUUCCAGGUCACGUGGCCUGUGCGUUGUGAGAGAUGAAGAAGCUGCCUCUGGCUUCUUUGGAGAGCCCCCGUUUACCUACUGUUGACUAAAUAAAGGCUUAGAGAGGCUUAUGGAAUAAGGCUGCUUUCACAUCAAAGGGCUCUUACAAAACAGCUUGGUGAUGAGUUAAGUACAAAUGAAUCAGAAACAGAUGGACUCAAUUUCCUCGAAAAUACCCCUGGGCUUCAACAAGAAGAGAGAAAGUGCUCAGCCAAAGGCAUUGUGGGUUUUUGCUGAUCCUAAAAUAUGCUCAGUGAUUUGGCCUGAAACAGAGCCGAGAUGUAGGGACUGUCAGACUCCAAGUCAUUACAGGGUCCAGCUGGCGUCUGGCCAACACAUCAGCUGAUCCCCAGCAGCCCCUCCCCACUCUCCUCGGUGGCCCAGGAGGAGACCCCAUUGGCUUGGUCCUGCUCUGGCUUUGCAAGCCCGGACAGAAAAGCCAGUGAGACCUUUCUUUUCCCUGGCUCUAAAAUGCAAGAGUUAAUUUAGAUGAUCUCUUAAGGCUUUUUCAGCAUGGGUGUUCCAUGAGCAAUAAUAACAGUAAUAAUUGCCAACAUUUACUGAAUGAUUCCUUAUGCCAGGCACUGCUGUGUUAAAAGCUUUAUAUACAUUGGCUUGUUUUACUUCUUUCAGCAGCCUUGGGCUAGCACUAUAAUUAUCUCUAUUGUACAGAUGAGGAAACUGAGGCUCAGAGAGUUAGAUAACUGGCCCAAAGGCCCACAGCUAGUACACAGUAGAGUCUGGAUUUUAACUGAGUGAUAAGGUAUCUCUUGGUAAUAUCUAGCCUGUCAAGUUCUGGAUUUCCAUUCUCAUGGCAACUUUCUAGUCCUUGAGUUGGUAUUGAAUAGUCUCCUGACUACCCUGCCAGAGGCUGUCCAUUCUCUAAGAAGUCUUUAGAACUUUGGCCAAAGUAAGCCAAAAACACAACUUGCCCUUGCUACCCUCCUCUCCCCCAAAACCCUUAAGUGCCUGUGUUAGAUGCUGGGGACACCCAGCCUUGCUUUCCAGGAGGUGGACAGCGACUUCGAGGCAGCAUGAAAGAUGCCCACUAGAGGAAAUGUGCAGAACACGCCCUAGGAGCCCCGAUGGAGCCCUUUGACCCACUGAGUGAAGCCCAGCAGGAGUGAGGAAGGCUGGUGAGUGGAGAUUAAGGAUGCAGCAGUAGGCAUUGGCGGGAGCUCCCUUGGCACGGAGAUGGGAAAAACUUGUGGUGCUUGUGGAAGAACUGGAGGUCAUUGAAAAUGAGGAAGGCCCUGGGGUAUGUGUUGGGGAACCAGAACCACAGGAGAGAAGGCCAGGAAGAUAGUCAGGGACCAGAUCUUACCAGGUGAGCCUUAGGACUUGGUCUUAAAGGGAGUCACGGACAGGGGUUAAGCAGGAGAGCGGCAGGAGCAUCAGUGCCCACCCGCCCCCAGCCUGGUCCCCCUCCGGGCUGACUCCCAGCUCCAGUGGGAGUGGAGGCUUUAAGGGCAAGGGUGUGUCCAGCACAGCUCACAGCAAGCACUCAAUCAGUGUUCACCUAACAUCCACCACCCACAAGAAGAGCCAGGUCCCCUGACUUGGGUCAGCGAAAGCAGUCUAGAAAGCAAGGACCUGGGCAGUGGUUCCUAACCCUGGCAGCCCUGUAGAAUCACCUGGGGAAUGCUUGAAAAGCCCCAGCCCUUGAGUCAGGAUCUCUGCACAGAGGGGCCUGGCGUCAGUGUUUUCCAGAGCUGCUCAGAACACUGCAGUGUCCAGCCAGCGUUGGAAUCACUGACAGCCUUCAGUGUGCAUCAGAACCUCCCCGGGUGCUCACCUUGCCCAAGCUCAGACAGACCUGUGAAAUCAGCAUGGGCCUGAGCAGGCAGGGGUCAGGGCAUCUGCAAUUUUCACAGGAUCCCUGGGUGAUUCCAAUGGAUGUAUAACGUUGAGAUCCUUGAUCCUCUCAUUUGGGUAUGUUUGCCUCAGCUUCUAAAGUAGGUCUGAGUGUUGAUGGGUCAGUGCUGAUCAGCAGUUGAUCAGAAGGGUGACCCAGAUGUAGCUUGAAACCCUUCUCAUGAAGCAGUGCGUGUUUGCCGACGCUGCCACUCCUGGGGGCACAGAGAAUAGAAAUCAGGGCAGUUUCAGAGAACACUCUCCUACAGCACCCGCAGCUCCCUGCUUAGCUGGGUGGCACCAAGUGGCCCUGUUCCUGGGCUCCCAACUCCUGGCUCCACCCUCACCCUCCAGGGCUCUUCUGAGUCCCUCUGUCAUGAACACCAAAUAAGAAUGACGAAUGGGGAAGAUGUGUUCUAAUCAUUUAACUGCUCAACUUAGUGGUAUGGUCAGAGGAUAAAGGGACUUAAGUGCCAGCCUGAGGGGUUCUGAUGGUACACAAUGAGAAAUCGUUCAUUUUUCAUGCAACAAAUAUUUACCAAGGGCCUGUUUCAUACCAAGCAUUGUGCGAGGCCUUGCGGACAUCAUCGUGAGUAAAACCAACCUCACAGGCUUACUUUCCCCAGGGAGACAGGCAGUUGACAGGUGAAGAAGUACAUGAUUAACUUGUACUAUGGAUUAGAACGGGAGUAGUUUUCAUGCACCUGGUAGGCUGCAGUCCAUGGGGUCGCUAAGAGUCGGACACGACUGAGCAACUUCCCUUUCAUUUUUCACUUUCAUGCAUUGGAGAUGGAAAUGGCAACCCACUCUAGUGUUCUUGCCUGGAGAAUCCCAGGGACGGGGGAGCCUGGUGGGCUGCCAUCUAUGGGGUCACACAGAGUCGAACACGACUGAAGUGACUUAGCAGCAGCAGCAGUUUUCAUGCAAGGCUAGGGAAUAGUGUUGGGGGGGUGUUUCUCGCGAUGGUCAGGGAACGUCUCUCCAAGGUGACAUGGAACCUAAUCCUGCAGAACACUAGGGAGCCUGACAUGUAAUGAAUGGAAGGGAGAAGGAGCAGGCAUGUGCAGAGGCCCUGAGGCACCCUUGGUAUGCUUGAGAAACAAGUGGUUGCAGAAGGAGAGUGCAUGGGGAUGUGGUGAGGGUGGAGGGAAGCAGGGCCCAGGCACACAGGGCUGUGAUAAAGAAUCCAGUUCUUCAGCAGGAGAGUCACCUGCCUUUUAUCUCCCAAAUGAGAGAGCGCAUUGGGGUUUGAGUGGUGGGAAGUGAGAAGAAUGUGGCAUAUCAUUGGCAUUUUGAGGAUGUGGGCUUCCAGUUUGAACUCACAUGUGACCUGGGGCAAGUUGCUGCCCCCCUGGGCCCCCCAGUUUUCCUCUGUCCGAGGACUGGGCAUGUGUGGUCCGUGUCUAGCUAUGCGAGUGAGGUGCCCUAGGAGCCUCCAGCUAUUCAUACAGAAACUGAAGAUAAAGAAGUGCCCAUGACCCGCGUGGCCAUGACAUGGAAAACGCUUUGGAAGCUGUGUCACCGACUUUUGUUCAUAAUUGAGUGAAGUAGUCGCUCUUCUUGACUCAGCUGUUGGGCUGUUGUCCCCAGGGCAGGCGACCCAUAAGUAAAUACUGAUUUAUGGAGGCUGAACUGGCCUUAUUUCUUGUAAUCCCAGGAGAAGAGUACAGAGUGGCUGGGGGGUGGCGGGAGGGAGGGCUGGAGGCCCUGUGGUUGUGGGGAUGGGGGCAGGGGGGACAGCGGCUGGGGUGAGGCCAGGCGCUGGGCGCUGGGAAGGUGUCAUAUUUUAUGAAUGAUUUCCUGACAGGUAGAGCGGCUGACUCAGCUGGCAGCCUCCCAUGGGUUGGUGUGUGGGGCCUGCUUUUCCGGAGUCGAAUGCUAAUCUGCUAGGGGCAGCUGGCUGGGGGGAAGGAAGGGCCCCCAGCUCCGUAGGCUGGGGCGGGCAACUGUGCAUCUUUGGCGGUUGUUCUCCCCGAAGAGCUUUUCUUAGCUUGUCCGGGGUGGGCCAUGGGGGGUGAGCAGGACUCCCUUCGUCUCUUCUCCUCAUGUCUUCCUUUACCUUCUCCCCGCUCCUCCCCUCCACACUCCUCCUCAGAGGCCUGCUGUCAGCAGCUUUCAGUUCCACUGGCCGCCUAGCGCCCUGCCCUUCGCCAAGGGAGGGGGUGAAGGCUGCUCCCCAGGAGCCCCUCCCCCCAGCAGUCCCCCACCUCCCCAACCCCCCGCCCCCGCAGUCAGGAGACUCUUGGGGGAUGGGGGGAGUGGGGGCUGAGCUCUCAGAAAACCAGGGUGGCAGAAGGGAGGCAGGAUCCUCUGUCCGCUACAGCCCCUGGGAGCACUCUCUUUCAGGAGAUGUCCAUCUCUCUCUGCAUCUCCCCCGCCACCCCCCUCCCCACCCCCCACCCCGGUCAGAGAAGCCAUCCAGAGAGAAGCCCUGUGCUUGAGGCCAGCGGGGGAGGAUGUUCAGGCCUGUCGGAAAGGCCGGGCAGAGAACGUGUGUUUCUGAGUUUGGGUGUAUUUGCCAUCACAGAGCGAGACAGGGAGGAAGUCCACAGAGUGUCUGAUGGUCUAGGGGGUCUCAGAAAGGCCAGCCAGGGCGGGGGGAGGAGUGGUCCAUCCCACAGACACCUUAUUCCACUGAAUUCUCACCACAACAUUAAGAAGCAGUUAUUCCUCUUUUUUUUUUAAGAUCACAUGGCAUGUGGGAUGCUAGUACCCCCAACCAGGGAUCGAACCCACACUUCCUACAUUGGAAGCACAGAGUCUUAACCACUGAACCAACAGGAGAGUCCCUUUUUCCUUUAAGAAGUAGUUAUCUUCCCCGUUUUAAAGAUGAGGAAAUCUGACUCAGAGAAGGAAAUACAUUCCCCCAAAGUCACACAGCAAUUAAGUGGGGGAGCGAGGCUUCAAACCAGUCUGCCCAGGUCCAAAGCCAUUCCUUACACACCACUUCCUGCCUUUGGAGAGAAAGCCUGUGAAGAAGGAGAAUGGGGAGGAAGGGCCCCUCUUAUUGGUGAGAAGUAAGGGAUGGGGGAGUCAGGGACUUGCAUCUAAACUGCCAGGUGAUCCUGGGUGACCUGUACCUUUCUCUGCUCCUCUGUUACCCUAUCUGGACCAGGAAAAAUUUAAGCUAGAUGCUUGUGAAAUCCCUGCUCCUUUUCAGCAUUUUCCUCCUUAAACCACCUCGCCAAGGCCCAGAGUUUCGGAAGAGGCUGGAUGCUGGCUGGCCUGAGAGUCCUGGCCAGCUGUGGCCAACAGGGGCAUCUCCCUGUGGGCCUCCCACUCUCCUUGUGAGGCUUGCUCAGCUCAGGGAAGGAGCGGUGCCGCUUGGCCUGGAAGGGUCCAGUGACCCUGGCCCGCCCGGGUCUCAGAGAACCAGGCCCAGGACCCCCGUUCUGCCUCCAUCCUCAGGGUUCAGAAGGAUGCCCAGGGAGAGAAGGAUGCCCAGGGCUCUAGGACACCCACACCCACACCCACACCCAGGGCUCUAGGACACACACACACCCUGCUUACACACACACACACACACACACGCACAUCCUGCUUCCUCCCUCUCAGGUGUUGAUUAGAUGAUUGGGGGCCUCCAGUAAUUAUCAACAUUUGGCAAUUUGCAGGCUACUGACGCAGGCGGUGGGGGCAGAGGAGAGCAGGCACCUCUGGAGGGCAGAGGAAACCUAGUGACUGUGAAUCCCCCGGGUCACGCCCCUCCUCCCAGGCUUGUCUGCAGGCUGAGUCAGCCUGGCCCCGGGUCUGGUCUGUGUGUCACACCUGGGAAGAGACCCCAGGCUGUCAGGCCGGGAUGAGCAGAGUAGCAAGGGUGGCUAGUGAUGCUGACAAUAAGACGGGACCAGUUGGCAGGUUUAAACACACUGGCGCCUGGAAGCCCCGUUGCCAUUACCUUGGGGGAGCAUCUCUGGAGCAAUGUGCCAGCUUCCUCCUCCCAGACCUCCUCUUACUGCCUGGGGGCCCGUGGGCAAGUUGCUCACCUCUCUGUGCCUCGGUUUCCUCAUCUCUGAUAUUGGAGCCAUGGCUAUUCUGGAACUGUGGGAGGAAUCCAUGACGACAAGCGUGUGUUCUCGGGGCGCACGGUGAGCCCGUCGGUGGCAGCCGUCCCUGCUGGGGUGGCUGUCAUUAUGGCUGGUGUGACACCUCGCCCAGCACCCCUCUUGCUGCUCCCGAGUGGGGACAACCAUCUCCCUCAUCCCCUUCACCUCACCACACAGUGUCUUGACGGGGCUUCCGUCCGAACACCUGAACUGUACUUGCUUCUUUCCAUGUCUGGCUCCUAGACAGCACAGUCCUGGAAUUCUAGGGCCGUGCAUCACAGCCGACACCCAAUCUUGGUGGGUGGACACUUGGACCAUCUCAGCAGAGGGAGGACAGGAGGCGGGCGCCUCCCGCUGGGACUUCUCUGCACUGCGCCUUCUCCACCAGGGUUCCUCUAGGUGAGGCGGCCACUGUCCCACCACUGGGAGAAGCAGCGGGCUGCCCGGACGACAGCCUUGGCCUCGGAAGGAGCCCAGCGGCAGCUCAUGUACUUCCUCUUCCUCUCACACCUGCCACAUCCUGAACCGAGCUUUCUGUUCCUCUACAGGAGCUGAUAAACCUGCCCCCAUCACACUUCCCCCAGCUGAGCUUUCUAGAAGGCCCCAAACCUCGGAGGUGCCUGGUAUGGAUUGCUGGAUACCUGCUCUCACGGGAUGGGGUUUUCUUCCCCAGGCACCAGCAAGGUAGAGGGGGGCAGCUGGCUAACCAAACAGCCCCCCAAUCACCUAAGACAUCCUGAAGCGCCGCUCUGCCGGCUUCUGCCCUUGACGUGUGAACUAGUAUUGGGCUUACUGGGAUGCAGAUUAGAGGUGAAACCCGAGUGCGGGGCUGGUUUUGGAGCUCUUCGGGGACCCGCAAUGCUCGCAGCCCCACCAAGCCCCCGCAUCGUGAUGACAGCUCUAAUUAGCAGUAAGCAGUGAGGGCCAGGAGGGCCCCUGGGCACAGAUGCAGCCGCUGCGAGGCUGACUCUGCCUGUGGGCUGUAACUUGGGCCAGGGCAGCCUCAGCACAGCAUGCUUGCUCUCAGGGGCCCUGCUGUUUUGCAGGUGUUGGGCGGCAUCCUGGAGAUGCGAUGCCGAGAUCCAACUCAACAAAUGCUAUGAGUGUCUACUACACACAGGGCACUGGGCCCCUGAAGCGGCCAAUGCAGCCCUGCCCUUGGGAAGCCCCAGGUGGACACACGGCCCGCACCAGCCCAGAGCUCGGCACUGAAUACAUAUUUGCUGAAUGAAUGAAUGAAUGUGCGAGAUCCCAUGGGGCCUUGCUCAUCAUGCCAUGCUGCUCCUGGAGGGUGGGAAAAGCUUGAAGGAUUUUAAUGAAGCAGCAACAACAAGACCACAGUUGUGUUGUUAAAAAGCCUUCCUGCCGCCCUGUGAGAGUGAGGAGAGAGGGAGGCGGGAGACCAGCCUAGAGUCUGUCACUGCCUCUUUUCUGCCUCCUUCUCCUCCAGGCCCCACCUCUUCCAAAAUGGAUUUUUUUUUUUUCAGCUCAGAGCACAGUUCCUCAUGAACUGUCAUUGUAAAUAAGCAGCCUGGAGGCCAGGAAAAAGAUUCUUUUUUUCAUUCUUUUUUUCCUCCUUGAAAGACUAGCUUCCUGAACGAGCCAGGAGCACCCCUGUGGCCCUCAGGGUGGGUGCCUGAUGCACGGUGUGACUGAGAAGUGAGUGUUGGGUGUGUCCUGGCAUCUGAGCAGCAACAAGAGGGUCGAUGCUGCAGGAGGCACCCUGAGCCCUUGGGGCCGGGGCAGGAGGAAGGCCCGUUGGACACCUGGAAACUCAGGAGCAGCUUGUGGGUGGCUGGGUUCCAUGAGGAGACGUCCUCACUUCCUGUCAUCAGGUGGCAGGGCGGGUGGUGGACGCCAUGGUUAGCUCACCUUAGACAAGCCUCUCCUCCGAGCCCAGCAUCCCGGCCAUGCUGUAGAGGGGUUCCUAGGAGAGGGUGUCGGGUAAGAAGGACUCUGGGGGUUGAAGUCUUUUUUAAAAAUAUUUAUUUAUUUGGCAGCAUCAGGUCUUAGUUGUAGCAUGCAGCCUCUUCCAGUUGUGGCUUGCAAACCCAUAGCUGCAGCUUGUGGGCUCUGGUUCCCCAGUCAGGGAGCAAACCCAGGCCCCCUGCAUUGGGAGUGCAGAGUCUUAGCCACUGGACCACCAGGGAGGUCUCUGAUUAUUUUAGCCACGCAGACAAGGGGAGGAAUCCUUGCCUGAAUUCCCUGGGGUGUGACGGGGGGAAGGGGGGAACAUGGCCCACCAGGAGGGCCCCAAACUUGUGGCAGACAGAGAUGAUUGGCAGGCUCCCAGCAGAUAGGAGAGAUUGAGUCCAGGGACAUGGAAACACAAAAAUGCAGACAGAGGAGAGGUUAGCGGGCUGAGCAGGAACUCAAAGCCUGGGGUCCCCGCUUGGGGUCAGGGCUGAGCUCAUUGAGUUUAUCUGAGUUUAUCUGGGUUCUCUCCUCUGGGCUGUUGUUUGUUGUGCAACAUGGGCUGUGCCAGCCUCGGUUUCCCCACCUGUUCACAGGAAUAAUAAGAUUUGUAGCAUCCAUUUGCCAUGAAGCCCAUGAAGACAUUGCACAAGUCAAGUUCCAAAUUCUAACCAUCUGAAUUCUGACUGAGGAGCUUUGAGAGAAGAGUGUGGCAGAGGAUGAGGUGGUUAGAUAGCACCACUGACUCAAUGGAUGAAUUUGAGCAAACUCGGGGAGAUAGUGGAGGACAGAGGAGCCUGGCACGCUGCAGUCCAUGGGGUUGCAAAGAGUCAGACACGACUGAGUGACUGAACCACAACAGCAAGCUUUGAGAGAUGAAGAUCUGGAGAGAAAUAAAGCCAGAAGAACAAUGUAA